CUCGUCCUUGGCUGGCUGUCCCCGCGUCCUUGGAGCGGCCAGAGAGACCGCCGGCAGUGCCCAGCAGCGGCUGGCAGCGGUGAGGAAGGGGCGGAGGAGCGACCACGCUCCACCAAGAUCUCCACCAAGGCGAAGACCUGGCGGCUGUGGGAGUCAAGUUGUUGGUGGUGCCCAGGCUGGAACACUCCCCGGCCCCGCCCAGGGCUACGACAACCUGAGAAGGCACAGCAAGACACUGCCCCUGGCUUAUAAGGUAUUGGUGGUGGUAGUAGUAGUAGUAGUAGUAGUAGUAGUUGUAAGCCAAGAUGUAUAAUAACUAUUUGUGGUUUUGUUAAGGUAGGUUAGGUUUAGGGUAUCUUCUAACACAUGACAGCCAGCACCUAAGGGUAUAAAUCAACACAGAAUGACCUCACUUUGUUGCAUAGAAAGUCUCAUUAGCAAGGAAGCAUAGAUGAAUUUUCUGAGUCAAGACCUAUAGUGUUUGCUUUUGGCUUUGAUAUGUUAAGUUAGGCCAAGUGUAGGUCAUCUUCAAACACAGGACAGCUGGUAACUUAUGGUAUAAAUCAACACAGAAUGACCUCACUGUGUUGUAUAGAAUGUCUCGUUAGUAAGGAAGCAUGUAUGAAUUUUCUGAGUCAAGAACUGUAGUAACCGUUUAGGGUUUUGUUAGGUUAGUUAAGUUUAUGGUAUCUUCAAACACAUGACAGCCAGCACCUUAGGGUAUAAAUCAACACAGAAUAACCUCACUGUGUUGUAUAGAACGUCUCGUUAGUAAGGAAGCAUGUAUGAAUUUUCUGAGUCAAGAACUGUAGUAACUGUUUAGGGUUUUGUUAGGUUAGGUAAGUUUAUGGUAUCUUCAAACACAUGACAGCCAGCACCUUAGGGUAUAAAUCAACACAGAAUGACCUCACUUUGUUGUAUAGAAAGUCUCAUUAGCAAGGAAGCAUAGAUGAAUUUUCUGGGUCAAGACCUAUAGUGUCUGCUUUGGGCUUUGAUAGGUUAAGUUGGGUCAAGUUUAGGUCAUCUUCAAACACAGGACAGCCAGCACCAUAUGGUAUAAAUCGACAAUGAAUGACCUCACUGUGUUGUAUAGAAUGUCUCGUUAGUAAGGAAGCAUAGAUGAAUUUUCUGAGUCAAGACCUGUAGUAACUGUUUAGGGUUUUGUUAAGUUUAGGGUAUAUUCAGACACAUGACAGCCAGCACCUUAGGGUAUGAAUCAACACAGAAUGCCCUCACUUUGUUAUAUAAAAUGUCUUGUUAGUAAGGAAGCAUAUAUGAAUUUUCUGAGUCAAGACUUAUAGUAACUGUUUAGGGUUUUGUUAGGUUAGGUUAGUUAAGUUUAGGGUAUCUUCAAACAUUUGGCAGCCAGCACCUUAUGGUAUAAAUCAACACAGAAUGACCUCACUUUGCUGCAUAGAAAGUCUUGUUAGUAAGGAAGCAUGUAUGAAUUUUUCGAGUCAAGACCUAUAGUAACUGUUUAGGGUUUUGUUAGGUUAGUUAAGUUUAGGGUAUCUUCAAACACAUGACAGCCAGCACCUUAGGGCAUAAAUCAACACAGAAUGACCUCACUGUGUUGUAUAAAAUGUCUCGUUAGUAAGGAAGCAUAUAUGAGUUUUCUGAGUCAAGACCUGUAGUAACUGUUUAGGGUUUUGUUAGGUUAGGCUAGUUAAGUUUAGGGUAUCUUGAAGUGCAUGACAGCCAGCACCUUAUGGUAUAAAUCAACACAGAAUGACCUCACUUUGUUUUAUAGAAAAUCUCAUUAGCAAGGAAGCAUAGAUGAAUUUUCUGAGUCAAGACCUGUAGUAACUGUUUAGGGUUUUGUUAGGUUAGGUUAGUUAAGUUUAUGGUAUCUUGAAGCACAUGACAGCCAGCUGUUCAAGUGAUCUCAUACAAGCAAGCAUAUCAACCUGGUAGCAGCGACGGGCCAAGUUUGUGGCUUUACCGUGUACCAGCGACGGGCCAAGUUUGUGGCUUGACCGUGUAGCAGCGACAGGCCAAAUUUGUGGCUUUACCGUGUAGCAGCGACUCGCCAAAUUUGUGGCUUUACCGUGUACCAGUGACGGGCCAAAUUUGUGGCUUUACCGUGUAGCAGCGACGGGCCAAAUUUGUGGCUUUACCGUGUACCAGCGACGGGACAAAUUUGUGCCAUGUUAUAAACCCCCCAAAAUAGAUGAUGCAUAAACUGAACACAAAUGCUUUGAUAUAUAUUAUGAAAUGGUUUGUGUGAGUGAUGAUUUUUUCCCAUUUAUCUCGCUUGGAGGGACCAUUAAGAAACAUGAUGCCUGCUGCUGCCACCACCACCGGGUUAACAUGUGCUGGCGACGAUCUGUUCACACGUCACUUGCCGCAGCGUUGAGGCGGGAUGCAGCGUGCUCUGAGGCCACCCCGGGCAGGAGGCAACAUGUGACCUCGGGCGCCAAACCUUUGACCUCUAUUCAGGAGCAGUAAGUAGCGGGCUUUUUUUAUAUAUAUUUUUCUUUACGCCCUUGAACUGUCUCCUUAGCUGUAAAAGAAAGAAAAAAAUUUAAAAAAUUACUCAUUGCCGUCCUGGAGUGAACAGACUGUGAUCCGGGUGAACGUAUUACUCGGGUGACAUGUUAACUUAUUCACUUUGAGGCGAGUGUUGCUGUCGAGAAAAUGAGUCAUCCUCACUUUGCUCUGAGUCUGAAAGCAUUAUGGAACAUUAUCUCUCUCUCUCUCUCUCUCUCUCUCUCUCUCACGGCCCACAUUUCGACCGCCACACAUAUUUGACCAGGCUUUCCUAGGAGUUGUGGGCAUUUCCAGGGGUAGUUGUGUGACCCUGGUGGUAGUGUGACCCUUCCUCUGUACCAUGAACCCAACCCAGCUCUGUUUUGGCCCUGGGAGGUGGUUGGUGUGAGGGUCGGAUGCCAGGCUCACCAGCAGGGACUUGGCACAACACACACGAUAACUUGUGACUAUAAUUCUGCGCCUGACUGCUGCUGCUGCUGUGGUCAUAACUUUGGGGUGUAACUGAGAUGGGAUUUUUUUUAUUUUUUGUAUCUAUUUAUCUAUAUAUUUAUUUAUUAUUAUUAUUUUUUUUGUGUGUGUGUGUGAGAGAGGAAGAGGAGGAGGAAGAUUAUAGAUUUUUCCU